AUCCAUUUGAUAAUGAAACCAGGAACAGUGUGCGACUGACUGUCCGAGAGUACUUAAUCAGUGUUUUGCAUAGACGCAUAGCCAAUAUGCAAGUUACAGUAACUCUACUUUUUUGUGUACUAAUUUCUAUCGUUCACUGCAGUCCUUAUAAUGGUCUACAUAUACCAUCGGAGUGUGUCGACAACCCUUUUUUUUCGGACUGCAGUCUUGUUGUGAGAAGUAAAUUUUGUAACCACAAAUUUUAUUCAACAUAUUGCUGCGAAUCGUGUACAACAGCGGGUCAACUCGACCCCGUGGGCAACCUACGACAGCCUAUUAGUGAUUAUUAUUAGAAUUAGUGUUUUUGUUAACUUAUUUGUAGUGUUUCCACGUUCACUGUGCAGCUAUGAUGAGAUUACCCCAUAAAGGUGCUUAUCCACCAGAGAUAUCCGAGGAUGCGUAGCGAGGAAUGUGUUUUAUCGCAUCAAACGCUAAUUAAUUAAGCCACAAUUAAGCUAUAUGAUUGGUUCUUUACAAACACAUCCUCGCACAUCUCUGUUGGAAACGCAGUCUAAGUGUAAACACAAAUUGUUAUGUUUUUAUUGCCCCCCGGGUUGUUGCGAAAUAUUUUUUCUUUGUUCUUGUUCACACGAGUAAGAGGUGAUUUUAAUUUUUCGAACAACGUAUGACCUAUUCGUGGCCCGUGGGUGCACGUGUGAUUUAUUAUUCGAUCUGAUGACCGAUGGGGUCAUGCAGUGAACGUGUGAUAAUUAGAACGUAGUUGUAUGAAUAGAUAUGUAGAUUUAUGUCUCAUCGUCACUCGCAUUCUAUGUAUUUUUAUAUAUGAAUCUGUGAACUAGUAUCGCCGAAUACUUACUUUUUAAAUCGUAUUUGAGAUUGUAUAGAAAAUAUAAAUAUGUAACCAAUUGGUAUAAUUAUGUGUUUUAUACUAUUCUUCUAAAUAAAUUUCCUAGAAUGUCCUAUUCAAUUUUAUGUAGACAAAUUGUAAUGAAGUACAUAAUUAACUUUAAGUGACUGUAAUGCACUAUGUGUAAAAUGUUAUUUUGGUCUAUAAUUAGGAGAGAUUAGUAUUGAAAUAAAACAAAAUAUGCAGUAA